rnacentral:misc_RNA from 1 species
CACCACUUCCAAGACCAGGAAACAAUGAAGCACCAAGGCCCGAACCGGAAAAUGGUCCACCUACAUUUGGAGCGGCAUCAGAGGGUGCAUUCUGAUUAGCAUUUGGAUUUCCAGUAUUGACUGCACUUGCAGUAUUAACAGCGGCAGCUGGUGCAAAACCUCGAACCAAAUGGACGGUAUGAUCUGCCUCAAGACCGUAGCUUGUUAGGGUUUGCUCGUCCUUUAAGAUCCGGCCUUUAUAGAUCAAUCUCUGCUGCUCGGCUGGAAUGUCGGAGUGCUGAGCAAGGGUGGACUUGAAGGAUCCAACACUUGAGUCUAGAGCCACCUGAACGGUAAAUUUGGAGCCGUUGGAACAUCGGACAUUGAUUAUAACUUUUUGAUCGCCGGUGGCGUUAUUCUCGUUAUCCUCUUUUGCCGCCGCAGCACUAGUAUCACCGCCGCCCAUACUCAAAACCCUCCCCUUCAACAAUUCGGGAGGCCUGUAGACUAAUCAAUGGCGAACCGUAACCUGAGACGGACUGUGAUGAAUUCGGAAUCGCCGAUUAAUCGGAAACGGGAGAAUGAAGAAGAAGCCCUAAUUCAGAUGAUUUCACGAUUUCAGGGCGAAACUGG